rnacentral:rRNA from 1 species
UACAGAGGUCUCAAGCGUUGUUCGGAUUCAUUGGGCGUAAAGGGUGCGUAGGCGGCGCGGUAAGUCGGGUGUGAAAUCUCGGAGCUUAACUCCGAAACUGCAUUCGAUACUGCCGUGCUUGAGGACUGGAGAGGAGACUGGAAUUUACGGUGUAGCGGUGAAAUGCGUAGAUAUCGUAAGGAAGACCAGUGGCGAAGGCGGCGUCCUGGACCAAUACUGACACUCAUGAGCGAAAGCGUGGGGAGCGAUCCGG